GCCGUGAAGUUAAGAAGUAGUGUGGAGGGAAAACACAUGGAAAUUUAAUGUGAAAGUUUCUCAUUGCAAUAGAGCUGUUAAGUUUGGCAUGAAGACGGCUAUCAGAUGGCUCCUUUGACAUUAGUUGAGCCUUCAGUAAGUAAGACAAGCCUGAAGGAUUAGGUUGUCAACUUCAACCUGUCAUCUUUGGAGUCAGGGGAAAAAAGGUGCUUCCUCUUUUCCUUUCUUUUUCUUUUUUCUUCUUUUUUCUUUCCUUUUCUUUCUUUUUUACUUGUCUUUCUUUCUCUUUUCAUGCCCCCCCCCCUUGUUACUGGUUGUAUCUUCACUCGUUUUGAGCUUUCAACCCCGGGCAAAAGAGACAGUUAAUGGGCGACAACCUCAACCCCACACUGCUCAUGAAAGUGUCGUCUUUAAAGACGAGAGAAUCGAGCAGGCUGUAAGACUAAUCGCCCUGCGCCGGUAUGAAUUUAUCUAAAGAGGAUUUCAUGUGGAACCCCCGGAGCCGGCCGCCAAACGGAUGACUGCACAGUUUAAGAAAGUUAGUGGGACUCGUCCCAAUCAACUGUCAGGCUGCAUAAAAGGUUGGGGGCGAGCUGACUUAAGCAAACAAUAUUUAGCCAUCUAAGGAUACCAUAAGGCCUGAGAUUUUGCUUUGUUGCGCUGUCAGGAAAUAUUGGUACGUAUCAAGUAACACUCCUGGUGCAAAAGAGGUGCGUCUCCUUUCGGACUAUCUCUAUUUACAAAAGAGGCCUGUGCUCCCAGAAGGGUGGGGGCAGGGGACGUGCCAAGCCCAGCACUUCCCAGAGGACUUUCUUUACUUGCUUUCCCUGGGACCACAAUCUCGUUCAAAGAAGGGGGGAAAAUGAAAGAAAGAAAGAAAGAAAGAAAGAAAGAAAGAAAGAAAGAAAGAAAGAAAGAAAGAAAGAAAGAAAGAAAGGAAGGAAGGGAAAAAAGAAUUGAACUAAAAAAUCUCCUCCUUCUAAAUAAAUUAAACGUUAUUUGAAUUUAUAAAUUUCCUGAAUGCCUAAGACCCUGCCCAUGGCCCCCCCAGACUAUCUGCUGUGGAUUUUUUUUAAAUCAUGCUUCUCAUUGUUUAGUACGUUCAGAAGUAUGUUCAAAGCAUCUGAGUCUCCAGUGUAAAAUACAAUCAGGACUAUCAUCUAGCUAUCAAGCCUACACAGUAAACAUUCGAAAGAGGUCCCAUGAGCCAAAACUAUUUUUGUUAGAAAUAAUCUCCACAAUCCUAAUGACUCAUCCCUUUUAGUGCUUUAAGUACAUGGGGAGAAAAAAAAAUCAUAAUGUCUCCAGUUGGAAAACUGCACUGGGUACAUUGAGCUGUUACUGAAGAAUGACAGUUGAGUUGAGGAGUUUAAUUUAAAAGGAAAAUAAAAAAAGAAUACAAAACAAAACAACAACAAGGACAACAACAAACAUCGUUCUUUAUCAGAACACUCUAAACAUUCAUUUGCCUUCAGUAUUGUUGUGCCGGGGGUGAAAUCCUUGAAGAUUCUGGUGGUGAGAGUGUCAAAGACAUAUCCCUUGGCAUUAAGAGCUGUUCCUUGAAUCCAGAUUGAACUACUCGAAGGGAAAGGAACGUGAGCUACUUAACAGCAUAAUAAACCAGAAGAACCGAAGGGAAGAACCCGCUUGCUCUGUGAAGAAGAUCACUCCUAGUUAAACAAAGAAAUUUAGGGUCGCCUGCUUUUCAUGGAAAUCACCUACAUAUGGCCUUUGAAAUUUGUCACUGAAGAUGGUUUCGCUCUAAGAUGCAAACCUGUGAGAAGUCUUGUGUCUCUGCCCAGCACUAUUCAGAAUGGUCUACAGCUGGAAAAGACACACAGGCUCACCUAUAGCAGAAUGGAAUAGAGCGAAGUGACACGGAAUGGACGAGAUCUGCACACUUGAGGAAAGAAGAGGUCAGCCAAGUAUGUGAACAUCUGCAAGCACUGCUGAAAGAGGAGCCUAUGGAAACACAUGGAUGGGUCCAUUUGAUCCCACUGAAAACCGGCAGAUCCAUAGCCCAUACUGGCGGGGCAGAUUUAUAUGGAGGAGAAGAGAAAUGAAGGAAAGAGAGUUACAAACUAUACUGUUUAGGUCUGUGUUUCCAGGAAUGUGCAGAGACAGAAUGGAAAAGUGUCAGCGAGAGAGAGAGAGAAGGGUUCCAGAAUGGAUUGGUAGCAGGCUUUCUAUUAAUCAUGCAAUAAAAGAAUAAUGGCAUUCUUAAAACCUAGGUAAUUUAAAUUGCACACCUAUAACUCAUGCAUCUUCUAAUAUAAAUUUUAAAAUUUUAAAAGUAGCAAUUACAUAAAUAGGUGUCCAUGAUGUGAAAAAGAAAAGAAAAGAAAACAAAACAAAAACAAAAACAAAAUAAAAAACAGCUCUAUUCUUUUCUUAUUAAGAAAUAACAGAAUUCUGACAACGACCAACUAAUAUUUUAGUAUAUGCAGAAAUGGGCAGUUCUCUAAAUUGUACAUCUCGCUCUGCAAAUAAAAUAUAGCCUUAUAGCAUGAGAUGUAAACCCAAGCUAUGCAGAGAUUAUGUAAUAAAUCUGGAAAUUAUAAUCAAUUCUCAAGUGUUUUAUAUGGAAUACUUCCAUAAGAACUUAAGAGUUACCAGUAUGUAUAAAGAUUAUGAUUUCAAAUCAAUUAUUCAGACCUUUAAGUUAGCCAAAUGCAGUCCAUUAAAAUAUUCAUUGUUUUAUGUGCCUGUCUCUUUGGAGGACAAUUUUCAGGCUGUCUGAGACACCGAAGAUAUCACCGUCCUGUCUCUCCCAGGUGUGUUUAGCAUGUAACUGGAGGUCAUUGUCACUGAGUAAUUUGAGGGGAUUUAGAGAAAUCUUUUUCGUCCUGCAUCUUGGAGUAGUUUGUAGCAUUUGUAUGGAAAAAGGUGACAGCACUCCAUGUCCCCUGCUGAGCCAAACGUGCCUCCAGAAACAAGAGAAGGCACUAAGACCAUAAUGUCCCAUGAUAUCCCAUAAUUUCCUCUCUCAACAAAACUAAAGGCUCAUACCAUCAUUAUACAAAGGAGGAGACUGAUUGGGACUAAGAGAACUCACUCCAAGUUCUGGCUAUGGAGAGAACUGUGGCCUUUCUUCAUGAAUCCUCUCUCGUAUGAAUCUGUCCUUAUCCCCCCAAACACUAAGAACGGACAAAGGGUGGCCAUUAUAAUGAUGCAUACAUCAAAUGUGGACGUGGGCACAAGUCUUUAUUCACAGUGGUCAGUGUGGUUCACGUACGUUAUUAAAUUAUAUCGUAAAUUUUCAUUUUGGGUCCCAUUAGCUGAUGGUGACUGAUGCCCGUACAUCAAUCAAGUCACGUUGUCUCGUCUUUAAGGGAUUAAGGAUGCUCAAUAGAAACUAUAAAAUAUUGCCUUUGAACGUUUUAAAGUCGCCGAUUGCAGAACGUGUGUUGACACUUCUGUAGGGAUGAUUGUCAUGUGCUUAUUUCCAUUUUCCAGGGUCCUUCAUGCUCACACUGGGCGGGUAAUUAGCGGAGCUAAAAACGGCUAUCUGGGACUGCAACAUCUCAGCUGUCAUCCUGCUGGAGUGUGGAAAAAAAAAGUUAUUUUGUAAAAUGAGAGCCCAGCGGUACAGUCGUAUUGACUUUUGUGUCAUGUUUGUAUCAGUUUCCUCGUCAAAACAAGUUUCCCAGUUCCUCCUGGCCCAGAAGGUUCCGUUUGCUUUAUGAAAAUGAAGCUGUCUUGUUUGCUGGUUCAUAAAUCAUUGUCAAGUGGAGCCGGAUACCAGAAACAAGUUCAGAUUCCAGGAUGAUUAUCCUUACAGAUGAUGUAUUAAAUAUACAGAAUACAACUUGAUUUUCAUAAGCCACGUUGACUUUGCAGAACAAAGGCUGCAGAGGGAAAUUAUCUCAUAAGGGGAGGGGUGAGAGCCCGCCGAAGCUGGUCAGGUGGGAACAACGGGGAGGAAAGGAAAGAAGGCAGGGUAUCCGAGCGAGCGCAGAAAGAUGUGUGAGCUUUCUCCACUUCCCUCUUCGGUAUUUCCCUGCCGUCAGACCUCUGAGCACCCCAUGCCUCAUAGGCAUUUGUGGUUUUGAGUCAUUUAGGAAACAUGUUCAGAAAGGAUAUCCUUCCUUCUUCCUCUGUGCUCUCCAACUUCUCUCUCAUCCCCUGCUCUGACUAUUAUGCUCUUAGGUCAGAGCUCUCUUCCAUUUAUUCACGUGUUUUCCUGGAAUUAACCUGGUGUGAGGUGUCCCUUUGUGCUACAGUAGCUCAUGAUCUCAAGUUUCUCAAUGACUUUACAAAGCUUUCUUGCCAGGCUCUGGAACCAAUUCUGGUGGAAAAUCACAGUGGAAGACUGGGUAGAUGGCUCAGGGAUCAAAGCACUUGCUCCUGCAGAGGACCUGGGCCAGUUCUCAUCACCCACGUGGGAGCUCACAGACAUCGGUAGCUCCAGUUCUGACUUUCAAGGGCACCAGGCACAAGUACUGGUGUGCACACAUCCAUGCGACAAAACAAUUUUACACGUGAAAUAAAAUAAGUAAGUCUUAACAAAUUGCAAAAAAAAAAAAUCGGAGUGGAGCCAAGAAGAGUCAAGGGAGGAACAACUCAAGACAUGUAUCAACACAGGGAACUAAUCCCUAUUUUUAAUUUUAAUUAAUUUUUUCUCAUUAUUUUGGGAGAGGCUCCCUCACAUAGUUCUACUGACUGGCCUGGAAUUCACUUAAACUAGUAGUGAGUUUUAGACGUGGCUGGCCGUGAACUCACAGAGAUCCACCUGCCUCUGAUUCAUCAGUCCUGGGAUUAAAAAUGUGUGCCCCCACUGUUUAAAAAUGUUAUUUUAUUUUGCUUUGUGGCAGUCACUGUGUGGUCCUCAGUGUCCUGGACCUUGCUGCGUACACCAGGUUGGCCUCAGUUCUCAGAGAUCUGCAUAUCUUUACUGGGAGGAAAGACACACAGAACCAAGUUUCGUUUAGAUUCCUUGUUCUUACUGUCUUACUGUUCACUGAAUGAAAACCUUAUAUAUCUGAGAACAUUCAAAGGCAUCCCACUAACAAAUAGAGGGCUUUCUGCUGUCUGAGAUGCCUUUUGUUUAAAUGGAUUACUCACUUCCUACCGAAUUCCCAAAGCUUUUUCAGAAAUGUUUCCCCAGGAACCCUUUCUCCCCGACAGCCCUUGUCAAGGCCCCUGUCUUCUGGGCCUUGUCUUUGAGCUCCUUCUCAUUGUUCCAUUUUCAUAUGUUUUGGAGGAAUGGGCAAGAAUUCACUGCAUUUUGUGUAAAUAUUGGCCUCAUCUAAGAACAUGAAAAUCUUGCAAGUGUAGUGGUUUUGUUCUUGCAGAGUUGUGCCUAGACGCACAGCACAUAGUAGGUUUGCAUUAAAUGGUUGGAUGGCAAACAUAAUGGGAAAUCGAAAAAUACGGUCCCAGCCACCAGAGCUUCUGGAUCGAACUCUUUCAGAAGAGCAACUAGAGGGAGGUGCAUAAUAUCACCAGGGCUGAUUCCAGUGUCAGUUCGGAUUCCUUCCAAUGGGAGUGAGAAACUUCCAAAGCCCAGUGGCAGAAAGCAUAGACACGGUGCCAUGAAGUUCCUGAAUUAUAAAAAGGAAUGUUCUCUGCCUACCAGGAAAACGCUUUCAUAUGAAGACACAACUAAAGACGCUGCACAUACCCAUGCUCAUGUUUGCUACGUGCCUUCAUUUUGCAGUUCAGAGAACGGAUGCCCUAGGACAUUGCUAUCUUAUAUUAGCUGGUACAUUUGACUGACUUGUCACUGAUGGACAUAGCUGGUAAGCCUAUUCAUUUGUUCAGAGGGAAAAAAAAGAAGAAAUGGAAAAUUGCCAUUUCUUUUUAACCGAUACACAUAGAUGACCUCUCAGGGUCUUUAUCUCCAUAUGCAGAUCCAUCAUUUCGGUCAUAUGACUCUUUGUCCCAACUCAUAAACCCAAGUUUUCAUAUUUGCCAUCAACGAGCCAAAAUGUCUUCUUGAGCUUUGUACAUUCUAAAACAGAUGGGGCUUCAGAGCAAUAAACCAUGAGCUUGUUGCACACUUCAUAAA